rnacentral:rRNA from 1 species
CCUACGGGGGGCGAGCAGUGGGGAAGUAUUGGACAAUGGGCGGCAAGCCUGAUCCAGCCAUGCCGCGUGAGUGAUGACGGCCUUAGGGUUGUAAAGCUCUUUCGACGGGGACGAUAAUGACGGUACCCGUAGAAGAAGCCCCGGCUAACUUCGUGCCAGCAGCCGCGGUAAUACGAAGGGGGCGUAGCGUUGUUCGGAAUCACUGGGCGUAAAGCGCACGUAGGCGGACUUUUAAGUCAGGGGUGAAAUCCCGAGGCUCAACCUCGGAACUGCCUUUGAUACUGGGAGUCUCGAGUCCGGAAGAGGUUGGUGGAACAGCUAGUGUAGAGGUGAAAUUCGUAGAUAUUAGCUAGAACACCAGUGGCGAAGGCGGCCAACUGGUCCGGUACUGACGCUGAGGUGCGAAAGCGUGGGGAGGCAAACAGGAUUAGAUACCCUGGUAGUCCACGCCGUAAACGAUGGAAGCUAGCCGUUGGCAAGCAUGCUUGUCGGUGGCGCNGACAACGACUUACGUACGUUCCGUCCGUCGGGUAGGUACGGUCGGUCGAGAAUAAACUAACAACGAAGUAGUACGGCGNGNGAGNGCCGACGACGACGACGACGGGAGGAGG